CAUGCUAGACGUAGUUUGAUCAGUGGCUCAGAGCGAACGUUAGCGGCGGGCCUAACACAUGCAAGUCGAACGCGAAAGGUCUUCGGACUGAGUAGAGUGGCGCACGGGUGAGUAACACGUAGGUAAUCUACCCUUUGGCGGGGGAUAACGUUCCGAAAGGAGCGCUAAUACCGCAUAAGACCACGGAGUCUCCGGACGCUGUGGGAAAAGGUGGCCUCUUCUUGAAAGCUACCACCGAAGGAUGAGCCUGCGUCCCAUCAGCUAGUUGGUAAGGUAAUGGCUUACCAAGGCGAAGACGGGUAGCUGGUCUGAGAGGAUGAUCAGCCACACUGGGACUGAGACACGGCCCAGACUCCUACGGGAGGCAGCAGUGGGGAAUAUUGGACAAUGGGCGAAAGCCUGAUCCAGCAAUACCGCGUGAGUGAUGACGGCCUUAGGGUUGUAAAGCUCUUUUAGUAGGGAAGAUAAUGACGGUACCUACAGAAAAAGCACCGGCUAACUUCGUG
rnacentral:rRNA from 1 species